rnacentral:rRNA from 1 species
UACAGAGGGUGCAAGCGUUGUCCGGAUUUAUUGGGUUUAAAGGGUGCGUAGGCGGUCCGUUAAGUCCGGGGUGAAAGCCCACUGCUCAACAGUGGAACUGCCCUGGAAACUGGCGGACUUGAGUACAGACGAGGGUGGCGGAAUGGAUGGUGUAGCGGUGAAAUGCAUAGAUACCAUCCAGAACCCCGAUUGCGAAGGCAGCUGCCUAGACUGUAACUGACGCUGAGGCACGAAAGCGUGGGGAGCGAACAGG